ACAGGGCCGGGUGUUGCUGACUCAGUGCUGAAGAGGGCACCUUGUCAGCCCUCCUAGGCUCCCAACUCCCCCUCUCCCUCCCCUUCCUCCCCAGAGGACACUGAAGGAAAGCAGAUGCGUGAGAAAAACAUCCAGGCAAGUGGACAGCAUUUGCAACAGCCCAGCAAUAAGAAGGACCAUAUUCUACUUGGGAAAAGGUAAAGUCGUUUCAUAUGGACGGAGCCUGCCAGGAAACCUGUCAUUCAACCCUUUGCAAUAAAACAGCUCCUCAUGAAUGAAGCAAAAUAAAUCAGAAGUUGUGGGCUUUUAAACUCACUAAAUGAAAGCACAGCAUGCAUGCAGCCUCCCUCCAAAUUAAUCACCAGAUUAAAUGCAAGAUGUGCACACCAAAUCAAUAGCUUGUGACGGGGACCUCCUGCCUGUGCUUCAGGAAAAUUCCAUUUCCUUUCAGAUGUUGUCGCUUGAAAUGUCAGGAAGUUUCCAUUCAUCACCCGCC
rnacentral:lncRNA from 10 species